rnacentral:rRNA from 1 species
UACGUAGGGUGCAAGCGUUAAUCGGAAUUACUGGGCGUAAAGCGUGCGCAGGCGGUUGUGCAAGACCGAUGUGAAAUCCCCGGGCUUAACCUGGGAAUGGCAUUGGUGACUGCACGGCUAGAGUGUGUCAGAGGGGGGGGUAGAAUUCCACGUGUAGCAGUGAAAUGCGUAGAGAUGUGGAGGAAUACCGAUGGCGAAGGCAGCCCCCUGGGAUAACACUGACGCUCAUGCACGAAAGCGUGGGGAGCAAGCAGG